UCUCCUCUCCCUAUCUCUCUUUCUCUCUCCAACCACGAUUCCCCUCUCUGUCUCUCUCCACCCAGUUUUGCGGAUUUUCCAUGGAUCUACAGAGGAGGAGCAAUAUUGAAAGAAGUGGAAGGAGAGGUGGAGUAGGCGAUUUGUAGCCGAAAAUCCCUUCUACUUUGCUUCCUCCAUCACGUCGCAGCUCGUCAUGGAACAGUCUCAAUUGGUAAAAGUGUCACCACGUACAUUAGGAAGGCUCUCUCAUAGCAAUGGGCCAUUGAAUGGUGGCCAGAGCUACAGCUCUUUGACUGACAGCCCUCCCGUCUCUCCAUCUGUGAUCGAUGAUUCUUCCAGAAUACCCCGAAACAAAGCAAACAAUCAUUUCCAUAGUGGAAGAAACCCCAACGGCCCAAAUGAGAUCAGAGUUUCUAACGACAACUCAUAUCUUGACAUGUGGAAGAAUGCAGUGGACUGUAAAAGAAAGACGCGGGAGUUCUAGGAGAUUUCCAACAACUCCUUUGUUGCUGUAGCUAAGAAAGUAGAUGAUGAUAGUCCGGAUGCUCUGGAGCGCAAGUACUACUAGUUCAAGAAGAUUCUGAAAGUCCCAAAGGACGAGAGGGGCCAGGCCCAAUAAAUGCAGGUCAUCGAUCCGGUUGCAGUUGCUCAAGCUCUUCUUGAGGAGAAUCCUCAGGAAAAAGCUGUCAUGGAUGUUGAUUUGGUUUUUUUUUUUUUUUUGGCCUGAGGUUCCAAAGAUUGAGGGUAAUGCUAUAAUUAUUCAAGAAGGUAGGAUUUCUGUGAGAUGCCUUUACUCUAUUUGAGUUAUUGUUUAUAAAAGUUCUUGAAUUCUUUCAAGAUUCAUGAAAUGUUAAAAUUCUUGCUUGGGUUAUCUGGAUUUUACUUCAAUUUGGGGAUUUUGGCGUUUGUGGUUUUUGUACUUGCAAGUGCUUAUUUGGAUGCACCAUUGCAACAAUGCCACUUUGAAGUUUGCAUCUUUAAGAAGGUUGCCUAGGUUGGAAUCCCAGCUGCUUCUGCUUGGCUUCCAACAGAUAUGCUUAUCAAGGUAUCCUCAUUUAUUAUUAAAUGUUGUAUUUCUUUCCUUCCAAAUCUACCAAGGGAACGAAAUAACCACCUCUCAAAGAUUGGCAAUUAUUUCCCAUUUGACCAAGCCAUCUAAAUUUGGUAUUUCUGUUUUCCUUCUAAAUCUACCAUGGGAAUGAAAUAACCACCUCUCAAAGAUUGGCAAUUAUUUCCCAUUUGACCAAGCCAUCUAAAUUUGGUAUUUUUCUUUUCCUUCCAAAUCUACCAAGGGAAUGAAAUAACCGCCUCUCAAAGUUAUAUUUCUUUCCUUCCAAAUCUAUAAAGGUAUUUUUGUUUUCUUCAAGAUGUCA